rnacentral:tRNA from 4 species
GGAGAGUUGCCUGAGUGGCCGAAAGGACUUGUUUGCUAAACAAGCGUAUGGGAAACUGUACCAAGGGUUCGAAUCCCUUACUCUCCGCAA